AGAGCGAACGCUGGCGGCAGGCUUAACACAUGCAAGUCGAGCGGGCGUAGCAAUACGUCAGCGGCAGACGGGUGAGUAACGCGUGGGAACGUACCUUUUGGUUCGGAACAACCCAGGGAAACUUGGGCUAAUACCGGAUAAGCCCUUACGGGGAAAGAUUUAUCGCCGAAAGAUCGGCCCGCGUCUGAUUAGCUAGUUGGUGAGGUAAUGGCUCACCAAGGCGACGAUCAGUAGCUGGUCUGAGAGGAUGAUCAGCCACAUUGGGACUGAGACACGGCCCAAACUCCUACGGGAGGCAGCAGUGGGGAAUAUUGGACAAUGGGCGCAAGCCUGAUCCAGCCAUGCCGCGUGAGUGAUGAAGGCCCUAGGGUUGUAAAGCUCUUUUGUGCGGGAAGAUAAUGACGGUACCUGAUGAAUAAGUCACGGCUAACUACGUGCCAGCAGCCGC
rnacentral:rRNA from 1 species